UACGUAGGGUGCGAGCGUUAAUCGGAAUUACUGGGCGUAAAGCGUGCGCAGGCGGUUCGUUAAGUUCGAUGUGAAAGCCCCGGGCUCAACCUGGGAAUGGCAUUGAAAACUGGCGGGCUUGAGUCUGGCAGAGGGGGGUGGAAUUCCGCGUGUAGCAGUGAAAUGCGUAGAGAUGCGGAGGAACACCGAUGGCGAAGGCAGCCCCCUGGGCCAAGACUGACGCUCAGGCACGAAGGCGUGGGGAGCGAACGGG
rnacentral:rRNA from 1 species